rnacentral:hammerhead_ribozyme from 1 species
AUCCAGCUGAUGAGUCCUAAAUAGGACGAAACGUGCGUCCUAGAU